rnacentral:rRNA from 1 species
CAGUAGCCGCGGUAAUACGUAGAGUGCGAGCGUUAAUCGGAAUUACUGGGCGUAAAGCGUGCGCAGGCGGUUAUAUAAGACAGAUGUGAAAUCCCCGGGCUCAACCUGGGAACUGCAUUUGAGACUGUAUGGCUAGAGUGUGUCAGAGGGGGGUAGAAUUCCACGUGUAGCAGUGAAAUGCGUAGGUAUGUGGAGGAAUACCGAUGGCGAGGGCAGCCCCCUGGGAUAACACUGACGCUCAUGCACGAAAGCGUGGGGAGCAAACAGGAUUAGAUACCCCCGUAGUCCCUGUCUCUUAUAC